CCCUGUUGCUAGCCCAUCUUUCUGCAUUUCCAGUGCAACAAUGAAUCAGUUCAACAUCAUCAUUUUUACUGAGGUCAAAACCCAUUAAACAAAUCACAGAUGUUAUGAUCUAAUUAUCUCUUUCAGCUAGUCAUCUGUCCAUUUUCUGUGAGAGAGUGUAAUUCACUAUUGAUGUAACUAAAGAGAGUAAUAACAAAUAGAGAUAGGAGAAGGUGAACUGAGUAGGGCUUUGUUAUUCUCUUGUACAUUCUUCCUUUCUGACUCAAAGACAGAUACUCUUAGAAAGAUGCAAUGCAUUGUUAAAGAAAUAAAAAUUUAUUAGCAUAAUACGGUACCUCUUAGUGCAUCCUCUAUUGC
rnacentral:misc_RNA from 1 species